AUCACAAACUAAUACAUUGUUGACGACGACUCCGCUGCCGGAAACAGCAUACCUAUGUCUCGCUUUUCGACUCCGUCAAGGCGAGACAAAAAUUAAGCAUUUUUGUUUUUACAACCUUCUGACCAUAAAUUUUAGCAAAUAUGAAGAGAAAUUCAAAAACUUCAUAGAACAGGAAUUGUAUAGAAAAAUCAACAACAUUUAUGAAAAUUGAAAAAUAUUCAGAAAUAAAAAGAUCAUGGUACAGCUGCUUUUUUUAAAACUAAAUCAAGAAGUAUGUGUCUGACAAUGUCUCACACAUUACAACCCAUCACUGUCACGCUGCAUAACAAAUAUGAAGUCAUUCUGUUAAUUAGUACCCAAGGAAAGUGUGGGAAACAGGAAGUAGGUGUCUGACAAUGUCUCACACAUUACAACCCAUCACUGUCACGCUGCUUAACAAAUAUGAAGUCAUUCUGUUCAUUAGUACCCAAGGAAAGUGUAGGAAACAGGAAGUAGGUGUCUGACAAUGUCUGACACAUUACAACCCAUCACUGUCACGCUGCUUAACAAAUAUGAAGUCAUUCUGUUAAUUAGUACCCAAGGAAAGUGUGGGAAACAGGAAGUAGGUGUCUGACAAUGUCUCACACAUUACAACCCAUCACUGUCACGCUGCUUAACAAAUAUGGAGUCAUUCUGUUAAUUAGUACCCAAGGAAAGUGUGGGAAACAGGAAGUAGGUGUCUGACACAUUACAACCCAUCACUGUCACACUGCUUAACAAAUAUGAAGUCAUUCUGUUAAUUAGUACCCAAGGAAAGUGUAGGAAACAGGAGGUAGGUGUCUGACAAUGUCUCACACAUUACAACCCAUCACUGUCACGCUGCUUAACAAAUAUGGAGUCAUUCUGUUAAUUAGUACCCAAGGAAAGUGUGGGAAACAGGAAGUAGGUGUCUGACACAUUACAACCCAUCACUGUCACACUGCUUAACAAAUAUGAAGUCAUUCUGUUAAUUAGUACCCAAGGAAAGUGUAGGAAACAGGAGGUAGGUGUCUGACAAUGUCUCACACAUUACAACCCAUCACUGUCACGCUGCUUAACAAAUAUGAAGUCAUUCUGUUCAUUAGUACCCAAGGAAAGUGUAGGAAACAGGAAGUAGGUGUCUGACAAUGUCUGACACAUUACAACCCAUCACUGUCACGCUGCUUAACAAAUAUGAAGUCAUUCUGUUAAUUAGUACCCAAGGAAAGUGUGGGAAACAGGAAGUAGGUGUCUGACAAUGUCUCACACAUUACAACCCAUCACUGUCACGCUGCUUAACAAAUAUGGAGUCAUUCUGUUAAUUAGUACCCAAGGAAAGUGUGGGAAACAGGAAGUAGGUGUCUGACAAUGUCUCACACAUUACAACCCAUCACUGUCACGCUGCUUAACAAAUAUGAAGUCAUUCUGUUCAUUAGUACCCAAGGAAAGUGUAGGAAACAGGAAGUAGGUGUCUGACAAUGUCCGACACAUUACAACCCAUCACUGUCACGCUGCUUAACAAAUAUGAAGUCAUUCUGUUAAUUAGUACCCAAGGAAAGUGUGGGAAACAGGAGGUAGGUGUCUGACAAUGUCUGACACAUUACAACCCACCACUGUCACGCUUCUUAACAAAUAUGAAGUCACUCUGUUAAUUAGUACCCAAGGAAAGUGUGGGAAAAAUUUCAAAAUAUUGGCAAAUAGGAAGUAAGUGUCUGGCAGAUCCUUAGUGUGUUCUGAUUUCACAACUUAUCACUGAAAAGCUGCUGAUCAUAUGUAUAGUAAUCAAUACAGUAGUACCAGAGAAAAGUGUGUUGCACAAAGGGACUGGUGAACAAACAAACAAAUGUCUUCUUCACUCCUAAAACACAAUCUCAAACAAUCAACAAUACUUUGAAUGCUUUAUAGCCUUAACUUCUAGAGUUAAUAUGAGUUUCAAAAGCUUGUUUUCUAACAAUGUACUAUGUAGGAACAUGUACUACAUGCACAACAAAUGGGUAAGUGAAGUACUGCAGCGAAUCACUUCUAGUACCAUUUUAAAAUUAGUCUUACUCUAGCUAGAAUUCUAUUCAUAUUCUCAGUGUAUUAUCACCAAAUUAUAUCUAUACUUGAAGGCUUGCAAGAGGUAAAUUUACUGGGAAAUCCAAUACCUGUGUGGCAGAAAAAUUCAUAUGCCAGAAUUGAUCUUAUUUCUAUACUCCAGACUUAACAGAAUUGUCUAUCAACUCUCAUAAAUUCAGCUUAAUUUUAAUAGGAUCAGAUUUAGACAUUCAAAUGAAGUUAAUAUUAUUUGUAAAACAGUGCAGUGAGUGACAAUGAUGUGAAACCUUUAACACUGACCCUAUUAUAUGAGCAGGCCCCUUCACUCCUAAAACACUAGCUCAAACAAUCAA